CCGCUGUGGAAACCUUCAGUCUUCCCAGCACAGCACAGCUCUCCGGGCGGCCGGGGAGGCGCCCAUCUUGGCCCUUAGAGAGUCUGAAGGGGGCAGAGCUGGACGCGCAUACAGGUGACCCUGCAGGCCAGAGCAUUUGCUCAGUGGCUGCUCCGUGCCCAACUCACUGCCAGGCUUUGCCGCCAGGUUCCUGCCAGAAAGGCCUUGUGUCUCACUCAUCCACCUGCGAACGUAGGCUUGUGUUGGAAUUUGCUCUGCUGCCAAUAUAAGCACGUUUUGUAAUCCGGCUACCUGAUACGAAAUAGGCGCUUAAUAAAACUUUGUUAAAAGAA